rnacentral:rRNA from 1 species
GCAGGCUGCAACCCGCCCUGCAUGAAGUUGGAAUCGCUAGUAAUCGCGGAUCAGCAUGCCGCGGUGAAUACGUUCCCGGGCCUUGUACACACCGCCCGUCACACCAUGAGAGUUGGGAAUACCCGAAGCCUGUGAGCUAACAUAUGAGGCAGCAGUCGAAGGUAGAAUCAAUGAUUGGGGUGAAGUCGUAACAAGGUAGC